rnacentral:rRNA from 1 species
AUUGAACGCUGGCGGCAUGCCUUACACAUGCAAGUCGAACGGCAGCACGGGAGCUUGCUCCUGGUGGCGAGUGGCGAACGGGUGAGUAAUACAUCGGAACGUACCCAGUAGUGGGGGAUAACGCACCGAAAGGUGCGCUAAUACCGCAUACGACCUAAGGGUGAAAGCGGGGGACCGCAAGGCCUCGCGCUAUUGGAGCGGCCGAUGCCUGAUUAGCUAGUUAGCGGGGUAAAGGCCCACCAAGGCGACGAUCAGUAGCUGGUCUGAGAGGACGAUCAGCCACACUGGGACUGAGACACGGCCCAGACUCCUACGGGAGGCAGCAGUGGGGAAUUUUGGACAAUGGGGGCAACCCUGAGCCAGCAAUGCCGCGUGUGCGAAGAAGGCCUUCGGGUUGUAAAGCACUUUUGUCAGGGAAGAAAUCUUUCAGGCUAAUACCCUUGGAAGGAUGACGGUACCUGAAGAAUAAGCACCGGCUAACUACGUGCCAGCCGCCGCCGUAA